rnacentral:rRNA from 1 species
CAGCCGCCGCGGUAAUACGUAGGUGGCAAGCGUUGUCCGGAAUUAUUGGGCGUAAAGGGCGCGCAGGCGGCUUCUUAAGUCUGUCUUAAAAGUGCGGGGCUUAACCCCGUGAUGGGAUGGAAACUGGGAAGCUCAGAGUAUCGGAGAGGAAAGCGGAAUUCCUAGUGUAGCGGUGAAAUGCGUAGAUAUUAGGAGGAACACCAGUGGCGAAAGCGGCUUUCUGGACGAAAACUGACGCUGAGGCGCGAAAGCCAGGGGAGCGAACGGGAUUAGAUACCCCUGUAGUCCCUGUCUCUUAUAC